rnacentral:rRNA from 1 species
GUUUCGUACGUGGAUACCUGUGGUAAUUCUAGAGCUAAUACCAGCAAAUUAAGUCCCGGACCAGCAAUGGGAAAGGACGCUUUUAUUAGAUCAAAACCCAUUUCGCCCGANUUGUUUUGGGCGUUGUUUUGGUGAAUCUAGAUAACACUUGAGAUCGUACAGUCAUCGUACUGACGACAUCUCUUUCAAACGCCUGACUUAUCAGCUGUCGAUGGUAGACUCUGUGUCUACCAUGGCCCUCACGGGUAACGGGGAAUCAGGGGUUCGAUUCCGGAGAGGGGAGCCUGAGAAACGGCUACCACAUCCCAAGGAAGGCAGCAGGCACGCAAAAUUACCCACUCCCGGCACGGGGAGGUAGUGACAAAAAAUAACGAUACGGGACUCUAUUGAGGCCCCGUAAUCGGAAUGAGUACACUUUAAAUCCUUUAACAAGGAUCCAUUGGAGGGCAAGUCUGGUGCCAGCAGCCGCGGUAAUUCCAGCUCCAAUAGCGUAUAUUAAAGUUGUUGCGGUUAAAAAGCUCGUAGUUGGUUCUGCGUGCCGCGCUGUCGGUUCGCCGCCCUGUCGGUGUAACUGGCAUGUCGCGGCAUGUCCUGUCGGUGGUGAACGGGGUCCCCGGUGCAACAUUGGCUUCCUAGUCGACGUUUGGUGCCGAGUGUGUUCCCGUUUGCCGAUCUCUCCUACUCCGGUGCUCUUAAACGAGUGUCGAGGUAGGCCGACACGUUCACUUUGAACAAAUUAGAGUGCUUAAAGCAGGCUGAAAUAUCUGCCUGAAUAGUGGUGCAUGGAAUGAUAAAUAAGACCUCGGUUCUAUUUUUUUUUGGUU